CCCUGUAGGGGAAGCCCUUUGAUUUUUCAGCAUCUGUCACGCCUGUAAUCAGGAGGUGGUGGUGCCAUCAGUUACUUCAGGCAUUUCCUCUGGCAAGCCAACAGUCAAUCAUCAAGCAAAUGAUCCAACCGGAUCUAAACAUCAUGGAGGUUACCACAUCUGUGUCA